rnacentral:rRNA from 1 species
GACGAACGCUGGCGGCGUGCUUAACACAUGCAAGUCGAACGGUAAGGCCCUUCGGGGUACACGAGUGGCGAACGGGUGAGUAACACGUGGGUGAUCUGCCCUGCACUUCGGGAUAAGCCCGGGAAACUGGGUCUAAUACCGGAUAGGACCACUGCCUGCAUGGGUGGUGGUGGAAAGCUUUUGCGGUGUGGGAUGGGCCCGCGGCCUAUCAGCUUGUUGGUGGGGUGAUGGCCUACCAAGGCGACGAAGGGUAGCCGGCCUGAGAGGGUGACCGGCCACACUGGGACUGAGAUACGGCCCAGACGCCUACGGGAGGCAGCAGUGGGGAAUAUUGCACAAUGGGCGCAAGCCUGAUGCAGCGACGCCGCGUGAGGGAUGACGGCCUUCGGGUUGUAAACCUCUUUCAGCACCGACGAAGCGCAAGUGACGGUAGGUGCAGAAGAAGGACCGGCCAACUACGUGCCAGCCGCCGCAGUAA